rnacentral:rRNA from 1 species
UGGGGAAUUUUGGACAAUGGGCGAAAGCCUGAUCCAGCAAUGCCGCGUGCAGGAAGAAGGCCUUCGGGUUGUAAACUGCUUUUGUACGGAACGAAAAGGCUCUUUCUAAUAAAGAGGGCCCAUGACGGUACCGUAAGAAUAAGCACCGGCUAACUACGUGCCAGCAGCCGCGGUAAUACGUAGGGUGCGAGCGUUAAUCGGAAUUACUGGGCGUAAAGCGUGCGCAGGCGGUUCUAUAAGACAGAUGUGAAAUCCCCGGGCUCAACCUGGGAAUGGCAUUUGUGACUGUAGAGCUAGAGUACGGUAGAGGGGGAUGGAAUUCCGCGUGUAGCAGUGAAAUGCGUAGAUAUGCGGAGGAACACCGGUGGCGAAGGCGGCUAUCUGGUCGAGUACUGACACUGAGACACGAAAGCAUGGGGAUCAAACAGGAUUAGAUACCCCCGUAGUCCCUGAGCGGGCUGGCAAGGCGCAU